rnacentral:rRNA from 1 species
UACGUAGGGGGCAAGCGUUGUCCGGAAUCACUGGGCGUAAAGCGCGCGCAGGCGGUCAUCUACGUCUGGGGUGAAAGCCCGGAGCUCAACUCCGGGAUUGCCUUGGAUACGGGAUGACUUGAGGAUCGGAGAGGCAAGGGGAAUUCCACGUGUAGCGGUGAAAUGCGCAGAUAUCAGGAGGAACACCGGUGGCGAAGGCGGAUCUCUGGGCCGUAACUGACGCUGAGGAGCGAAAGCGUGGGUAGCAAACAGG